GGUAAAAUGGCCGAGUAGGCAUUAGACUGUAAAUCUGAGUACAGAGGUUGAGCCCUCUUUUUACCA
rnacentral:tRNA from 1 species